rnacentral:lncRNA from 1 species
UCCUACUUUACUUUUCAAGCACCCAGUGAAGUCUGUCAGCCUCCCACUGAAAAAUAUGGCGGGCGAGGACAGGGAACCACCAGCUUACUCAGACUUUAUGGAACUAGAAGGGAUGACAGUUCGUUGGAUUUUUUUUUUUUCCAAAUCAACCUUUAAUAACAGCAGCUUGAAAGCUAAUGGAGGCCCUCAUAGUCCAGUGAGAAACACCCUCGUCCUAUGAUUUAUUUCCAGCUUUUGGUUAGUUCUCCAUCUCCCCUGCUCCAUUUCCAGGAGCACAUUUUCUCAGCUCUGUAACCCCUCAAGGGCUGGCACAUGCAAUUCACCAAAUCACAUCCGUUUGGCAAAGACAGAUAGAAGCGAUGACUGGUUUUAGUCUAAAAUGAAAAGAGUUUCCCGCUUCUAUAUUGUAGGACAUGCACUUAUGUGUUUGGUUGUUUGCUUGCCUUAGUUACAAAGCCCCAUCCAGCCUUAGCUGCCAGUUUAGUUCAUGAUUUUGGUGUUGACUUCUGCCUGCCUUUUGGUUUUUGUCUUCUUACAGGUAUCUGGAAAGGAAGCAUGGCAGAUUUCAGGACUUUUCUCAGAAACACAAAACCAGCUUUCGGUACAUCUUCUGGGGCAUCUUAUUAGCUGGUUACCUGGCUGUGGUGAUCGCCGCGUGUGCCCUCAACUUUCACCGAGCCCUUCCUCUCUUCGUGAUCACCGUGGCUGCCAUCUUCUUUGUGGUCUGGGAUCACUGUAUGGCCAAAUAUGAGCAUCGAAUCAAAGAGCUCCUGUCUCCUGGCAGAAGGUUUCUGGACAGCCAUUGGUUCUGUCUGAAGUGGUAAAUGCAGUUGGUUCUCUUACUGCUGUUGAGAGCGAUCUUUGUCCUUUUGAACACUCUUCCAAAACUGUGUUCUGAAAUUGCUUCCUCACUUAUGGGAUAUUGAAGCUAGAGACAACCUAGGGAACAAUCUGCUAAAAUGCCUUCCUUUUACAAACAGGAAAUCAAGGCCUGGAUAAGGGGAGGACUCAUUUGAAAUGUGUUCAAAUGUCCCUACAAACUGCCUUAAUUGCAAGUUCCACUAAGUGAUAAGAUGUUGUCCAAAGGAUGGGAUGGUUCUCACUUGGGGAGGUGACCCUCUCCUCUAGGCAUGAAGCUGGCCUCUUUGGGAGGAAGGGUCUGUGAAUUACUAAAGCCAACCCUCUCCUACAGGAGCCGGUGGCCUGCAGGUGACCACUCAGGGUGUUUCUCGCAGCCUCUCUCUGUGGGACCUCCUCUCCCUCCAGGUGGCCCUGCUGGGUAGGACCCAGGGCCCAUUCUCCCCAGCAUGGCCCACCUGGGAUCUACCAGGAACCUUCACACAUCCUUGGCCUAAUAAACCAGGAUGGUGCAAUCCCA